UAAUACGUAGGGUGCAAGCGUUGUCCGGAAUUAUUGGGCGUAAAGAGCUCGUAGGCGGUUUGUCACGUCGGAUGUGAAAACUCGGGGCUCAACCCCGAGCCUGCAUACGAUACGGGCAGACUUGAGUACGGCAGGGGAGACUGGAAUUCCUGGUGUAGCGGUGAAAUGCGCAGAUAUCAGGAG
rnacentral:rRNA from 1 species